CAUUUUCAAAAGUUCGACUUGAUUUUCAGGGAUCUCAUUCUACAUCUGCAAGCAGGAAGCAAUCAAUUUAUCAUGGUACAUAAAUACUUUGAGAUUCAUCCUAUUUCUUAAAGACUGUAAAUAUUUGAGCAGGCCCAUCCCUUGCAUCAGAUUAUUCAAAUGUCUUUUAAAAUAGAGCCCUGACAUUUUCCUCUCUUGCGUCUAGGGCAGCCACCUUUCCCCAGAGCUGCAUGGUUCUGGACAUACAGGCACAGACAACACAAGUGCUAACUUGAUUGGUCUAUUUCACCACUGAGUAUUAUGGGUUGCUAUUUUCUAUCUUGAAAUUUGAAUGGAAAUCUAACUGCCUCCUAUCCAAUUUGCAACUGAACAGCAAUUCUUUUACCCCCUCGUACCCUUCAGGAUCUGCUACUUGCAACACAUUCUCUGCGACUGACAAAGUUAGAGUUCUGUUGUAAGCUGUAGAAACUAGCUCUGACCUACUUGAACACUAAGAAGGAAUGUCUUGGAAGACUAAGGGAUGACGCCCCAUACUGAAAGAUAGGCUGAGUUACCAGAAGUCCAAGGUCCAAAGUCACAGCAGCAGCCACUUCUAGAUCCUCUUUCCAGAUGUGGCCACCUGUUGAUGUGACAAUAAUUUCAUUCCAUCCAUAUGUCUCUCUCUACUCAGGAGCCAGAUUUCUGUGGUGGGAAAGGGGACAUUCUACAAGGAAGGCAUUAAGAUGUAAACAGAAGGUUAUGGCCUUCUGAUGCCUGGCAUCUAGAUGUAAUGCCUGGAGCUCCAGCAGCUACCUUGGAACUUGAAGUGACCCUAAGAAUGGAAUCCAGGUGUGACAGAGCAUAAAGAUGGAAAAGUACUGUGCCCUUGGUAAUUUCUUAGAGCCAUACACUAGUUAGUCCUAGGGUGCCUACUUCUGAAUGGUCUUCCGUAAACAAAGAUAAAAUGUUACCUUGUUUAAGUCACCUAUUUUGAAAGGGGUAGUCAGUGGGGGAUGCUCUGUUACAAGUAGCUAAAUAUAAUUUCUAAAUGAUACAGCUACUAUUAGAAAAUAUAGACCAAUUUUUAAAAAUUCUUAUUAUUUAUUAUUUAGUACUAAGUAUUUAUACUUAAUUAAAAUCACUAACGAUCUCCUGGCUUGUACAAUAGGAUGCAUAACAGCCCCUUAAAAAUAUUCACACCCUAAUGCCUAGAAUCGGUGAAUAUUAUCUUACAUGGGGAAAAAAAAUUUGUGUUUGGCAUGUGCGAUUAAAUUAAAGAUCCUGAGAUGGAAAGAUUAUACUAAAUUAUCUAGGUGGGUCCUAAAUGUGAU
rnacentral:lncRNA from 12 species